rnacentral:lncRNA from 1 species
GCCGCAACCGCGGCUCUGUCGGCUCCGUUUCUGGCGCUAUUGCUGCUACUGCCGCCACCGCGGCCAUGUCCCCUGGCGCUACUGCUACUGCACCUGCUACUGCCGAUGUCGCGGCUGGUGUCGCUGUCGCUGUUGCCGUUCGGGGCAGUAGCGGCAGGAGGUGUUGUCGCUCCAGGGAGGCCAUGUAGAGGGAGCACAGCAGGGUGGAUGUGACGGCACCCUGAGGGUGUGUGUGAAUGGGGGGUGGGGAUGUGGCGGAAGAGGGAGGGGAGCUGAGGCGGCGGCCUGCCUGCUUCUGUGCAUCUGUCUGUUUGCCUGUUUGUAUGCUUAUCUGUCUGUCUGUCUGUCUGUGGACGUCAUGAGCCGGAGUGCAAGAGGCCCUGAGGCCAACCUCACCACCACUUUGACCAACACCAGCAAUCACCAUCACUGACAACCAUCAACUUGUCCGGGCCCGCUGGGCCUAAUGGGAUGUCCCCUACCUCCCCCUCCCCCCCUCUCCCUCCCCGGGCUUUCCCAGGGGCGUCAAAUCACACCGCCACUUGUUAACCCACCUCCUUCCGUCCCACCUGCCCUGCACCUGGCCCCACGGCACACAACACAACCCACCUGCUCUCUAGUCCCACACGCAACCACACGUCCCUGCCAUCCACCCGAACAUACAGACCUGCGCAAUGCCCACCACCUGGCGGUGCCAGCUCCUGCCCAGUCUCAUCACGUUGGCCCCCACCGCCUGACGCAGCAGGGACAUCACCUCACCGCGGGGGACAGGGCGCUGCUGGGGGAGCUGAGCAAAAGGGGGGGAGGGGGAGGGGGGGUUACAAGGGGGAAGGGGCUAUAACGUCCCGUGGCAUAUCCGCCCCCUCCCGGCGGGAAAAGGCGGGGAGGGAGGAAUCACAUGCAAAAUGCUCAUUACGGCAAGAGGCCCCUGGGGCCCAGGGGGGCUGGAGGCAAGGGCGGUCAGGGAAGCGGGAAGAUGGGUCUUCUGGUGGGGCGGAUCCGCAAGUCACCUUGUCCAGGAACACGGUGUUGUAGGCCUCCGCUCUGUGUGCCGUCAGCCAGGCGGGGAAGCCGGGGUAGCUGCGAGCACCUGGGUGGGCGGCGUUGGCGGGGCGGG